rnacentral:lncRNA from 10 species
GGUAUGUUGCCAACACGAGCUGACUCUGGGGCUCUGUCUUCAGAAGGAUCAGAUUCAGGGUCAUCAGAGAAGAGGCUGAUUCCAGAUUCCAGGUCCUCAAGGGCAGAAGAGUCACUUAUGAUGGAAGGGUAGCUGUUAGAAGGCUGGCUCCCAUGCUGUUCUAACACAGCUUCUAGUUCAGCCAUUUCCUGCUGGAGCUUUAUCAGGUUAUGUUGCAUGGUAUCCCUCUGCUUCAAAAACGAUAAAUGGCACCAAGAAAAUGAAAUACUUUGAGAAGCUUUCCAUUAAAUGAAAAUAUAUCAUACAAAUUAAUUUUAGCACAGGAAUUGAAAUCACCUAGUAUGGAACUACAAGUUCUAGCUGAACACCUUUUAAUCUAACCACAUUCAUGCAAUUAAUGCCCAUGAAAUUAUUUCCAAAUGAUGUUAGUGAGGGAAAAAAUCCUCAAAUUCCCCCAAAUAGACUUGAUGUUAUUGUGAUGUCCUUUUGAAGUUGGUUAUUUUCUUUUAAAGCUAGGGAGUGAAAAAAUAAUUAAGGCAUUUAAACACUAUCGAUAUUUAAAAUUAGCAUGAAUCUGUUAACAUUUUAUUUAUAUGGGCACAUUUCAAAGACUUGGUGUUGUGAGAUUCAUCAGACAUUUAGGUUAGUUCAUAUAAAAAUGUGUGAUUUUUAGACUGAUGUAAUGUUGAAAAAAGCCCUCUAUCUAUGGCAUUUUAUAAAAAUACAACAAAUAUAAAAAUACUAUCAGUAAUCCUGCCUAGAUUACUGGCUUGUGAGGACUCUUCCUUUUCUGGGAUUCUUUGAACCUUUAGUUUCUUUUCUUUCUUUCUUUCUUUUUUUUUUUAAGUCUCCCUCUGUCACCCAGGUUGGCACCAUCUCGGCUCACUGCAACCUCUUCCUCCCAGGUUCAAGCGAUUCUCCCACCUCAGCCUCUCAAGUAGCUGGCAUUACAGGUGCUUGCCAAGACGCCCGGCUAAUUUUGGUAAUUUUUGUAGAAACAGGGUUUUACUAUGUUGGCCAGGCUGGUCUUGAACUCCUGACCUCAAGUGAUCAGCCCGCCUCGGCCUCCCAAAGUGCUGGGAUUAGAGACAUGCGCCAUUGUGCCUGACCUGAACCUUUAGUUUCUAACAGAAAAAGCAAAAAGCUAAUUCAUGAAUCUAUCUGUUUGCUCAGUUAAUUAGACAACUAUUUACUAUCUAUUAAGCACCAGGCGCUGUCCUAGUACUGAGGAUAUAGCCCUCAUGGUGCUGCCAUUCUAGACAGGGACAUCUCAUCUAGAAUGUGUCCACCUAGAGAUCAUUAGCAAGGACCUGUGAGAGGGAAGGAUCCAACAGAAAGAGCCCUGAGAAAGCCUGUAAGGAUAGUUACUGUUUUUAAAAUAAUGAGUUCUUUUUGCUUAUGGGCUCCUGUUGUUUAUUGGUCCAUUUCAAAGAAGAGUGUGCUAAGUCCAAGUAUUUGAUAAACAAAGAAUUUAGGUAUGUAAGGAGUUUUCCAAAAUAUCCUUCUUAAGAAUUUAUUUUAUUUAUUUAUUUUUUUUGAGACAGUCUUGCUCUGUUGCCCCAGGCUGGAGUGCAGUGGUGCGAUCUUGGCUCACUGCAACCUCCGCCUACCUGGUUCAAGCAAUUCUCCCUGCCUCAGCCUCUCAAGUAGCUGGGAUUACAGGCACCUGUUACCAUGCCCGACUAAUUUUUUUUUUUUUUUUUGAGACGGAGUCUCACUUUGUUGCCCAGGCUGGAGUGCAGUGGCGCAAUCUUGGUUCACUGCAAGCUCCGCCUCCCAGGUUCAAGCCAUUCUUCUGCUUCAGCCUCCUGAGUAGCUGGGAUUACAGGCGCCCGCCACCAUGCCCAGCUAAUUUUUUGUAUUUUUAGUAGAAAUGGUGUUUCACCGUGUUAGCCAGGAUGGUCUGGAUCUCCUGACCACAUGAUCCUCCCGCCUCGGCCUCCCAAAGUGCUGGGAUUACAGGCGUGAGCCACCACACCUGGCCUAAUUUUUGUAUUUUUAGUAGAGACGGGGUUUCACCAUGUUGGCCAGGCUGGUCUUGAACUCCUGACCUCAGGUGAUCUGCCCGCCUCGGCCUCCCAAAGUGCUGGGAUUACAGACGUGAGUCACUGUGCCUGGCUUCAAAAUAUACAUGUUUAAAAAUCACUUUUAGAAGGAACAGCAAUGGUUGCCAAAAAGUCCAGUGGGGGAGUAGGGCAGGAACACAUUGUUUCACUCUCCGUUUCUUCUUCUGAUCCUUAAAAAUGACUUUGCCCUUUACUAAAAACAAGCCAUCUUCUUUCUCCUGCUACACUGAGUUCACAAUUUUCAGGAGGUUUUUAUGACCAGAAAAUGUAUUCCUAGCUUCACAAAGGUUUCUACUGCUACUCUAACACUGCUUUGCUGCCAAGGUCUGCAGCAAUGCCAUUGCCACCACGUGGUACUCGUGAGUAGUUACAUCACUGAUCAAACCCUAGCCAAAGUCUUGCCUCAGUCAACCUGGAAUGAAAGCACAUAGAUAUCUGACCAAAAUGCUUCACAGGCUGUAUUAGUCACUACUGUCACAACCAUCACAUCUAACCUCUACGUGGCCAUUACAUAAAUCAGAAAAAGUAGUGGGGUAAUUAUUAAUAGAUAACUUUCCUUUGGGUUUCCCAAAGGAAUUAUUUUUUAUAACUUAGACAAAUUCCCCAGCAGGUAAGUGGCCAAAUACAUUAGGGAGAAUAAAACCAAUAGGUUUCUAAGACUUCUUGAUUCUAAUUCUGAAGUGCUCCUUCAAUUAGCUCUAGCCUUCUACUUCUACUAUGCUGCUCUGAUCUCUACUUUUAAUACAGCUACAUUACUGUAGAAGUUCCCUAAAAGCCUUGUUUAUCAUGUCUUUUUCUUCCAUAAAGACCCUUAGUGCUCCAUCCUGGCCAUCACAGUGAAACACUGGCUGAGGCAGAAGAAUCACUUGAACCCAGGUGGCGGAAGUGCAGUGAGCUGAGAUCGUGCCACGGCACUCCAGCCUGGGCAACAGAGCAAAACUCUGUCUCAAAAAAAAAAAGAAAAGAAAAAAACCCUUAGUGGUAUACCACUGCUGAUUUAUACUUUUUGAACACUAUAUAAUUGUUAGUCAUUACUGCCAUUAGGAUAAAAUUCCUCAACAUAGCAUUCAAAAGGCCCUUUAUACCCUGGUAUUAUCUCUCAUUUCUCCCAACACCCCUCACACAAGUUGUUUUCCUAUAACACAUGACAACUUUACGUUUCCUGGGAAUUCCAUGACUCUGUACCUUUACCUUACUUGCUGCCACUCCUCUUUUUCCACUUGGAAAAAUUCUCAUCUUUCAAGGCCUAGUUUGAAUGUCUCCUUAAGUCCCCACCAGGAGGAGUUGUGAAAUAUGAGAAGUAAGGGCAAGUGGGCAGAAUGUGGCUAAUUCUAAUAAGACUCCUGAAAUGUGCAGCAGAGCAGCCGGAACUGGUCUGGAGGGAAGCAGAGUGUAUAUCUGACCCUUGUUUGUUCACAUUCAUUACAUAUAAAUAUAUAUAUAAAACCUUCCCAUAAAACAUGUGUAUUUAAUGAGUUAAAACUAUUUCUAAUGUUCCUACUACUACAUAAUAAGCCUAAUCCAGAUACAAGCUGAAGUCUUAGCACAAAUAGUGGCUUUAUCAUGCUAGUUUUGUCGACAUGUUGUGAAUAUUUUCAAAUAUACAGAAAACUUGAAGCAACUUUGCAAUGAGUGUUUAUAUAUCUACUACUUAGAAUCUAUAAUUAACAUUUCCUAUAUUUAUUUUAUCACAUACAUACACACACACACACACACACACACACACACACACACACAGAAGUCCCCACCAAUAAUCCAUCUCCUAUCGGGAACAGAUGAUCUCUCACUACUUGAUUUACAUUGCUAAUGCAUUAGUAUACCCAAAUGGAACACAUGACCUUGAUAGGAGGAAGCUUCCCUUAAUCAUAUUUGUC